rnacentral:tRNA from 1 species
GGCUCCUUGGUCAAGCGGUUAAGACACCGCCCUUUCACGGCGGUAACACGGGUUCGAGUCCCGUCGGAGUCC